rnacentral:lncRNA from 1 species
GAAGGAUUGGCUGUCCUGCCCCAUGAGUAGAAUCCCUGGUUGGCAACUGCCAGACCCUAGGGUUAUGUUGAUCUAAUCUUCCUAGAGCAGACACCACCCAACAAAGCUCCUGAGGCCUGAUUAAACCUAAGCCCCACCUGCUGGAAUUCUACUAAUAAACUCUGCAGUGCCCCCACCCUUAGAGUGCAUGGAUCUGAUCUGUGCAGACAAAACUCCAACUGGUCUGUGCAACAAAACUCCAACUGAUGGUACUUCCCAGCCCACCCUACCUCAUACUGGGAAGAAAAGAAGCUGAGAAUUAUUUGAACUGUCUUCAGUCUUAGGCCACUCCUACUGGCAGCUUUGUGAGUAAUACAAAAUCAGGAAGGGAUUAACAACCCUCAACCCUUGCUCUUGCUCUCAGUAUAUAACCCAAGAAGAAAUGGAAAGAAAAACAGUGGGGCAUAGACAGUGUCCAUCUAUUUGUGUUGAUUAUUUUGACCACCUCAGUGGAAAUGAUUCCUUAAUUUUUCAUUAAGAAUUUUUUUCCUUUUGUGUGUGUGUGUGUUUGCUGUGUUGAUUGGUUCAUGGACAUAUAUACAUAUUUAUUCCUUUUUUUUUCUCAUAAUAAGCAUUUUUUUAAAAUGCAGUUAUCUUUCCUUGCCUUGUCUUUGAGGGUUAGGGUUUUUUAAUUGGUAUGUUUUUGUUUUGUAUGGUUUUUCAUUGUCUGUUUUUUUUCUCUUUUUUCUUUUCUUCUUCUAACAGCUAAAUUCUAUUAUUUUCUCUUUCACUUUCUUUACUUUGCGAUUUCUAUUUUUCUCUUCCUUCC